GUGCUUCCACCCUCUGGCAGGAGAAGGGAAGGGGGGAAGGGACUGGGGGGAGGGGAUGGGGAAGGACACUGAUUGGGAUGUAAAUAAAUUUAAGAAAAGAAAAGAAAGAGCUACAGCUUGGAGAGACAGAGUGGCCAGCAGAGGGACCCCAGGGGCAGAGGCUCCCACGCGGGCUCCACCUUGACUGAACUUCUAGAAAGUGAGUUUUCAAAGCCAACUGUGACCCGGACUGAGCUCACUGUGGUCACCAGAACAAGGACCACUAGGAACCUGAGAGAUACCCUAACAUGUGAGGCAGGAGCACCUCAGCCCCACAGAACCACAGGUCAAGGGCAAAUGCAGACUGGCUACAAGUAAAAAAAAAAAAAAAAAAAUGAGAUGAGAGUUGGGGGAGAGUGUUGGGGAUUGGUUCUAAUGCUCUCAAUUAACCCGGCCCCCCAAAAUCGGGAAUCUGCAUGUCCAAACGCUGAAGGUCCUUGUCCUCAGUGGCUUUUUGAUCUACCAGUAAAAAGUCAAUGGCCAGUGGGUAGGCAGGUAGACUGAGGUGGGACCUUAGAUUUACAAGGGCUAGGGACUGGAAGAGAGAAGGAGAGAAAUUGCCAUGACUUGGAGGGAGACAAUCGGAUUUAGAGCUGCACAAGGAAAAUCAUCCAAAAUGUAGGUGAGAAGGAAGGCGGCACUGGAAGGGCUGCUCAGAAGUGUCUUGGGCAGCAAAGACUAGGAAGCUGCCCAGAAGGAGCCAGGGUGACAAAGAUAAAAUAUAGAAUUAGAGAGAGUUAAGCCAGGAUUACAGGAGGGAAAUUAUGCUAGCUGUGGGAAGGAUUAGAACUGCCCAGCCUUUAAGCUAGCCAAGACAUGUUAAAAUUAACUGGUGUGUGUGUGAAUGUUAUGAGUGUGUGUGUACACAUGCCACCACUGAGCUUAACCCAGGAGGAUAGUGUGGUGACAGAGCAGCCCUCAGGAAGCAUUCCAUCCCACUGAAUAGAAGCACCUUGUGAGCAUCACCUUUAGUGAGACACACACAGGAGAGACAAUGAAAUGACAUGGCAAGGAGAGAGCCAAACCCAGGUGCAGGGUGUCCAGCAAAACAACUACCCAUAACUCCAGUUCCGGGGUCUCUGGCACCCUCUUCCAAGGGUGCUUGCCCUCACAUGCAUGUAUCUCUCCCCCCUACACACACACACACACACACACACACACACACACACACACACGCAUACACACAUGCACACGCAUGCAUACACACAUGCACACACACAUGCACACAUACACUCACACACAUGUACACAAACAUACACACACGCGCAUACACACAUGCAUACACACACUCGCAUACACACACAUACACACACGCACACACACAAAUGCAUACACACACACACACACACACACACACACACACACACACACACACGCAUACAGAAUUCUUAAACAGGAGCUGAAGAUCUGCAUAAGCCAGAAGCCUAACAUGCACAUGAGAGCAGAAGUCGGCCUGAAAGCUGAAAAGACCUGGGCAUCCAAGCGAAGCUCGUGGACUGUCACAGGGUCCCGGUUCUAAAAGAAUGGACAGCUGUCAAACAUAUUUUUGAGCACAAGGCAGAAUUCGGAAAACAGUUCAAGUUAAACUUGGCACAAAGACCAAGGAAGAUGGGACUCCCGCAACCUAGGAAGUGCUCUUCUGGCCAUUCACAAAUGUGAGUCCUGGAAGGAAAUUUACAAGAGGAGAGAGGACAAAAGAGAUGCAGGGGCCGGAGAGAGGCCAGGAGCACUGGCUGCUCUUGCAGAGGACCCAGGCUGGAUUCCCAGCUCCCACAGGAAGACUCACAACCCAAGACCGUCUGUAACUCCAGUUCGGAGCUGGAACCCAACAGUCUCUUCUGGUCUCCGCAGGCACCAAGCAUGGCUCUGCCGUAUAGACAGACAGACAGACAUAGGUGGCACACUCAAACACAUAAAGUAAAAAAUAAACCUUGUAAAAUUUA